UCAGGUCAGGGCUGGUGGAUUUGCAUGUGGGUGGAAAAUGCCUGCCACACUUCCGAUGCUGCCAGCACCUCUUAGACCCAAGGGUGCUGUGAUUCAGGGCUGAGCUUUUGCAGAGGGGUUGUGUCACUGUGGUAGUAGUAGUUACCAGUCCAAGGUAGCUUCUCUUACUCUCACAAUGACACACGCCACCACAAAAAUUUGGUCCCUGCUGAUGUCUCUGUGCCUACUCUGGCUUCCUCAUGACCGGCUCUGCAGUGGGGAUUCUGUGUUUCUGCUGCGUUUCUGGGAGCUACAUGGUGGCCAGAGACCACUGGAACAUGAUGGUGGCCUGUGUGAGCAGACAUCUGGACAGAGCCAGAGCCACAAGUUCACAGGAAAUUUCUGCAAGGAUGCUGUUAUGUGUGAUGGACAGAGGUGUGGAUAAAAGAGCUCCACAGAGCCUUGGCUUGAGAUGCAAUCACCUCUCAGAUGGGGGUCAAGGGAGCCAUCACUUCCAGCUUGGAGAAGGACAGCUUGAGUGUGCUCUCCAAGCAGGGAGGGCAGCUUCAGUGACCACUUCUUUCAGCCAGGCCCAUCUCCAGACAGCUAGUUCAGCUGUGAGCUCAACAGGAGGUGAACCAUUACGAAGUUAGUGCCUCCCCAUCCAAUCACCUCUCCAGGUAUCUCUUCAUCAAGUUGAUGAUCAGGAUUCCUUUCACAUAGUGCAGGAGGCAGUCCCCCUGACAGGACACUCAAGGCACACCAAAGGUAGAGCCUGAUCACAUCCCCAGGCACUCACAGGAAAGUGCAGGAAGGCAUAAAGAAGCAUUUUUGUAGCACAGAAUCUGACCAAUUUUUUCAAGCCUUAUACAGGUAGUUGAAGAAAAACAUGCUCAUUUUAAAGGAAAGGUUCUGCACCUCAUAUUACUCACUCCUGUGUCAUACUCAAAUCAUCAGCAUUGUUUUUAGUAUUUACCAGAUUGAUCCAGUACAGACAGGGCUGCAGGUAGAGGCACCGUGCAAUCCUUAGGUAUAUGGAAAUUUCUGGGUCUCUGCCCGUAUUUUCCUAGGAGAUACCAUGCAGAGAACAGAUUUUUUUUUUUUUACAAUGAGCUUCCUUUUGAUUAGUAUAUGUUUGCUACCAUAAUAAGUACACUCAUCUUUAGAAAUUGGUAUUUAUACAAAUUGCAUCUUGUUUAUUUUAUUCCCAUUUAUUCUCUCUUUCCCUCCUCUGCUUUAUCCAGAUCCUUUUCCUAUCUCCAUAGAGUCUACCUCACUGUUUCCACUGUAUCACUUUAUUUUUUUUUCAUUUUUUUUCAUUUUUUUGUGGUACCGGAGGUUGAACUCAUGACCCUGCGCUUGUCAGGCAGGCUCUUAAGCCACUGAGCUAUAUCCCUAGCUCCACUGUAUCACUUUAAUUUUGCUCUAUAAGUCAUUUAUAUUUUGGAUCUCUCUCAGAAACAACACAGCUCUCAACCACCAGCAGGCAUGUGCCACAGGCUGUGCAUUCCCACUGCAGAAUGGCAAUGUCUGUCCCAUUUAAAGCUUCCUCCUGUGCAUACUUACUUCUGUGAUCUAAGCUGAGUGCUACCACCAUGUGGAAUACCAUUCACAAUGCAGAAAACUCAGAACGAGAAGCAAAGCAGUGCUGUCCCUUCUUUUCUCCUUCCCCAACAACACUUACAUUAGGCCAGCAGUGGCUGGGUGAAUAGUGCUUCAAGUUGUAUUCUACACACUCUCUCUCUCUCUCUUGCUCUCUCUCUCUCUUACACACACACACACACACACACACACACACACACACACACACGGCAGUUACAUGCAAGUCUCGAUGUUUUUACUUGUUGGUGUGUGCAUGAUACAUACACACAGACCUAUAUCUGUACUGUGGAGAGAUGCUGAGCAAAGGAAUGAUGGAAUCUGAGUGAGAUAAGGAAGGGACCUUGGGGAACAACAGUCCCAUGCUCCUGGAAUUCAUAAUUAGAACUUACAAGAGAAUUUGCAGGACAACAUGUUACCCAAGAGCAUGUUAGUGCCAGAGAUGUUUGAUUGGACAAUGUGUUCCUUCUGCCCUGAUAAGAUUGCCUAAGUUACAUAGACUUGUGUCAUGUAAUAAUCCUGUCACAUUCCAGCCCUGUCCCCCAAACUCCUAUACAAUAUGUUGCAAAUUGC